GGGUGAUGCCUGGGCGCAGUGGUUUAUCGAUCUCUUCCCUGCCUUGUGCUGCUCCGAUCGAUGCCCGUGCUGAUUCUUGAUAAUAUACAACGCAGGAAUCGAUCGAUAAGCCUCUGCAUCCAGAUCUCAC
rnacentral:pre_miRNA from 1 species